rnacentral:miRNA from 1 species
CAUUUUGAUUUUAUGAGUC